AGAGUUUGAUCCUGGCUCAGAUUGAACGCUGGCGGCAUGCCUUACACAUGCAAGUCGAACGGCAGCACGGGGGCAACCCUGGUGGCGAGUGGCGAACGGGUGAGUAACGCAUCGGAACGUGCCCAGUAGUGGGGGAUAACCAGUCGAAAGAUUGGCUAAUACCGCAUACGACCUACGGGUGAAAGCGGGGGAUCGCAAGACCUCGCGCUACUGGAGCGGCCGAUGUCUGAUUAGCUAGUUGGUGGGGUAAAGGCUCACCAAGGCGACGAUCAGUAGCUGGUCUGAGAGGACGACCAGCCACACUGGGACUGAGACACGGCCCAGACUCCUACGGGAGGCAGCAGUGGGGAAUUUUGGACAAUGGGCGAAAGCCUGAUCCAGCCAUGCCGCGUGCGGGAAGAAGGCCUUCGGGUUGUAAACCGCUUUUGGCAGGAACGAAACGGUGCCGACAAAUACUCGGCGCUAAUGACGGUACCUGCAGAAUAAGCACCGGCUAACUACGUGCCAGCAGCCGCGGUAAUACGUAGGGUGCAAGCGUUAAUCGGAAUUACUGGGCGUAAAGCGUGCGCAGGCGGCUAUGCAAGACAGGUGUGAAAUCCCCGGGCUCAACCUGGGAACUGCAUUUGUGACUGCAUGGCUAGAGUUUGUCAGAGGGGGGUGGAAUUCCACGUGUAGCAGUGAAAUGCGUAGAGAUGUGGAGGAACACCGAUGGCGAAGGCAGCCCCCUGGGCCAAUACUGACGCUCAUGCACGAAAGCGUGGGUAGCAAACAGGAUUAGAUACCCUGGUAGUCCACGCCCUAAACGAUGGAUACUAGGCGUAUGGGGUAUCGACCCCCCAUGUGCCGUAGCUAACGCAUUAAGUAUCCCGCCUGGGGAGUACGGCCGCAAGGUUGAAACUCAAAUGAAUUGACGGGGACCCGCACAAGCGGUGGAGCAUGUGGAUUAAUUCGAUACUAACCGAAGAACCUUACCUAGGCUUGACAUCGAGGGCAAACUCCUGAAAGGGAGUCCCCGACCAAAAGUCGGCCCAAAGACACUUGUUGCAUGGCUGUCGUCAGCUCGUGCCGUGAGGUGUUUGGUUAAGUCCAGCAACGAGCGCAACCCUCGUCUUAUGUUGCCAGCGGGUAAUGCCGGGAACUCAUGAGAGACCGCCGGUGCAAACCGGAGGAAGGUGAGGAUGACGUCAAGUCGGCAUGGCAGUUACGCCUAGGGCUUCACACAUGCUACAAUGGACGCAACAAAGGGAAGCAAUACCGCGAGGUGGAGCCAAUCCCAAAAAUACGUCCUCAGUUCAGAUUGCAGUCUGCAACUCGACUGCAUGAAGGCGGAAUCGCUAGUAAACGCAGGUCAGCUAUACUGCGUUGAAUACGUUCCCGGGUCUUGUACACACCGCCCGUCAAGUCACCUGAAUUGUCUUCACCCGAAGUCCGUGGCCUAACCGUAAGGAGGGAGCGGCCGAAGGUGAGGGGGGUAAGGGGGACUAAGUCGUAACAAGGUACCCGUACCGGAAGGUGUGGGUG
rnacentral:rRNA from 1 species